rnacentral:snRNA from 1 species
GUGCUCACUUCGGCAGCACAUACACUAAAAUUGGAAGGACACAGAGACUAGCACAGCCUUUGUGCAAGGGUGACACACAAAUCUGUGAAGCAUGUUAUUUCAAA